rnacentral:rRNA from 1 species
UACGGGGGGAGCAAGCGUUGUUCGGAUUUAUUGGGCGUAAAGAGCUCGUAGGCGGUUUGUCGCGUCGUUCGUGAAAACUCACAGCUUAACUGUGAGCUUGCGGUCGAUACGGGCAGGCUAGAGUUCGGUAGGGGAGACUGGAAUUCCUGGUGUAGCGGUGAAAUGCGCAGAUAUCAGGAGGAACACCGAUGGCGAAGGCAGAUCUCUGGGCCGAUACUGACGCUGAGGAGCGAAAGCGUGGGGAGCGAACAGG